CUUCUUCUGUAAAAUAAGGAUAAAAAUAGAACAAUAGGCCCCUCCUAGGGUCAUUGUGAUGAAUGAACAUGCCGAAACCCCAUCUCUACUAAAAAAAAUACAAAAAUUAGCCAGGCGUGGUGGUGCACACCUGUGGUCCCAGCUACUCGGGAGCUGUCCCGGUGCACUCCUUACGCCCCACUGCAGAGCCAAGGCAGGACUCCCCCAGCCACUGCAGCUUUGCCUGCUGAAGUGCAGAAGGUUGGCGGAGGUUCAGCUGGCUCCCUCCCUUCACACUAUGUUUAGCUGAAAGCAGCUGCCAUGCGGCCCCUCCAGUGAGGUAUCCCAGUCUCACAGUUGACUGAUGUGGGGGAACAAAAGCCUAGCCCUUCAGUGCUUCAGUUUGGGACAAAGUGCCACCCCAGCUCCAGAGCUCUCAGCCCUAUGAGACUGGCGGAGGCUGUUGCUGUGAGGGCUUCAGAAUUGAACUUCUGGCCACACUUACUUUCUGUCUUUUUUCUUUCUUUUUUUUUCGAGA
rnacentral:lncRNA from 1 species